CGCUAAGAAGCUAAACUGGUCAAGAGCGUUAGCCUUUUAAGCUAAAAAUUGGUGCCUACCACCCACCCCUAGCGA
rnacentral:tRNA from 1 species